rnacentral:lncRNA from 1 species
UGGGAUUAUAUCAGUUUAAGGUCUAUAAAUAGAGAGUCAGGGCCACAAGCCAGGUAUCUUCGAAUCAUCUUCNAAUCAUACUUCAUUCACAUUCAACUCAUAUUCUCAAAUACUCAAAUAGUGAAAACCCUUCACUAAAUAUUCAAUCAAGAGUCGAGGCUCUUCAAUACACGCCUGACUUGGGCGUCGGAGUACCUUUUGCAGGUACCUCCCCCUCUCCACCGGCAAGUCGGACAAGCGGUCAAAGCUUGAAAAUCACCAAACGGCCAAGAUUGCGAGCGAUCAAACGACAAGGAAAAAAGAAGACAAGCGAAGAACCCAGUUCAAGCAACGGAAAACGGCAAAGCCACGUCAAAAAAGGUUAGUGUCUCGGUCCCACAAAAUAUCAACCGAAACAUUUUGGCGCCCAUCGUGGGGCCGAGCGGCAAACCCAAAUGGUGACCACGAAGAGCAUGGAGGAACAACAAAGCACCAGAAAGAUGAUCAGAAACCAUAAGAAACUAAGACGAGCGUUCGGUCUCACAUCAUUAUUUCGGAUCAAUUCCAGAAACUUUAACCAAAGUAUCAUCUCUAUGUGAGACAUCAUCAAUAAGAUAAGUAUUUUUGAAAUAUGAAUAUCUCAUAAAAUAUCUAAUUGAUAAUAGAUAUUAUAACAACUAUUUUAUAUAGUUAUUAAAAAUAUACAUAUAAUAUAAUCCAUAAUGGUUAUAUGAUAUAUUAUAACUGAAAUAUACAAUAUAUUAUAAUCGAAAUAUAUAAUAUAAUCCAUAAAAUAUUAUAUGAUAUAUGAUAUGCAAUUUCUAAGGUAGUAUAUAAAAUCAAGAAAGCUGCAACAUUGUCGAGAUUGUCUUCCAUAAUAUAUACGCAUCGAGAUGCAUUUAAAGAUUACCACAUACUAUAUUAUUAUAUAUGCAUUUAAAUGCAGGUUUGAAUUCAAAAACAGAUCACAAGGCUAUAAAGCAGUUACUUUCCAACCAUGAAAAAUCAUAAUAUGGAUUCUUCAAACAUUUAACCAAAGACCGAACGAUCUUGCCUAUAUUUUUUAUAUUAUAUAUCUUGCAGGUCAUAAGACUAUAAAUCAAACACAGUCCCCCGUGGACUAUAAAUCAAAGACAGUCCCCCAUGGACUAUAAAUCAAAGAUAGUCUCUCAUGGACUAUAAAUCAAAGACAGUCCCCUAGAAAGAAUCUGAAGUUAAAGACCGAGAGGUAAAUCCCUCUCGUUAAAGAAAAAACUGAGAGGUAAAUUCCUCUCGUCAACCAAGAAAGUUGAAGACAAAGGUCGAGAGGUAAAUCCCUCUCGUCAAAGAAAAAACCGAGAGGUAAAUCCCUCUCGUCAACUAGAAAGUUGAAGACAAAGACCUAGAGGUAAAUUCCUCUUGGUCGAGAGGUAAAUCCCUCUCGUUGAAGAAAAAUCCGAGAGGUAAAUCCCUCUCGUCAACUAGAAAGUUGAAAACAAAGACCGAGAGGUAAAUCCCUCUCGGCCGAGAGGUAAAUCCCUCUCGUUGAAGAAAAAACAGAGGUAAAUCCCUCUCGUCAACUAGAAAGUUAAAAACAAAGACCGAGCGGUAAAUCCCUCUUGGCCGAGAGGUAAAUCCCUCUCGUUGAAGAAAAAACCGAGAGGUAAAUCCCUCUCGUCAACUAGAAAGUUGAAAACAAAGACCGAGCGGUAAAUCGCUCUCGACCGAGAGGUAAAUCCCUCUCGUUGAAGGAAAAAUCGGGAGGUAAAUCCCUCUCGUCAACUAGAAAGUUGAAAGCAAAGACCGAGCGGUAAAUCCCUCUCGGCCGAGAGGUAAAUCCCUCUCGUUGAAGAAAAGACCGAGAGGUAAAUCCCUCUCGUCAACUAGAAAGUUGAGAACAAAGACCGAGCGGUAAAUCCCUCUCGGCCGAGAGGUAAAUCCCUCUCGUUGAAGGAAAAACCGAGAGGUAAAUCCCUCUCGUUGAAGGAAAAACCGAGAGGUAAAUCCCUCUCGUCAACUAGAAAGUUGAAAACAAAAAUCGAGCGGUAAAUCCCUCUCGCUGACAAUGACCGAAUCACAUGUACUCAAUACAACGACACGAAAAGCAAAGCUCCUCAAUACAACAAGAAAAGCCUCCUUCAAACUCAUAAGUCCUAUAGUUAACCUCGACUAAAACCGAACGGUUAACUCGGACUUGGGGGGCAUAAUGUACAAUAUGAUAUCAAGGCCAAGCAGUUACGAUAUAUCUUAUUAAAGAUAUAGAAUAAUCAAGAAUAUCUAUUUAAAGUUAUUAACAAGAUUUUUAGGUAAGUCUGUUUAUAUUAUAUUCUGUUUAUAUUCUAUUGGGAUUAUAUCAGUUUAAGGUCUAUAAAUAGAGAGUCAGGGCCACAAGCCAGGUAUCUUCGAAUCAUCUUCCAAUCAUACUUCAUUCACAUUCAACUCAUAUUCUCAAAUACUCAAAUAGUGAAAACCCUUCACUAAAUAUUCAAUCAAGAGCCGAGGCUCUUCAAUACACGCCUGACUUGGGCGUCGGAGUACCUUUUGCAGGUACCUCCCCC